rnacentral:lncRNA from 10 species
GGUCGCUUCUCGCAGGCGGCGCGCUUGCUGGGUCACAGUGAGGCGGCUCCGCGCAGGCGCAGCCGGGCGGGCGAGGAGCGGGGAAGCUGACUCAGGGCUGCGGCCGGGGUCCUGCGGGGUAGGAGCGCGAGGCCGGCCUGAGGGAGGAGGCCUAGCGACCCAUCCGGCGCCUCCCGCCCCGGGCACCCGCCCGCGGCCGCGCAUCCUGCGGGCCCCAGGAGGCCUCCAUCUCAAAACAACGUGUUUUUAGAGAACUCAAGGGCUGUGAAAAGAGCAGGACCUCACCAGCUGCACGGCGGUGGUGACUGGCUCCAUCUUGCUGUCCCUCCCAAUCACACAACAUCUCCCCUUGAAGGCUCUGCCCAGGCCCGGACUCCCACCUUUCAAGAUGUCUGGAUCAGUGCAGGACCUCCUCCUUGGCCACAUCGCUCUCCUUGGACUGUGUUGACUCACCUGUGGAGUGGUCUGAGCCUGAAUGCCCGGGGCUGUGGCCACCGAGUGAACGGGCUGUGCUAAGGGGAAUUGCCACCUUGGGAAACCUGUGUAGUUGCGGCUUUUCUGAUUAAGUAUCAAUAAAAGUCUGACCUUGUGAAAAAAGCAAACGUGAGUGGCCCUGCUUAUGUUUCACCUUGCGUUGCUCAGUGAUAGUUCUGCAAAGUCGCAGGAAACCUGGAAUCAUCUAAUUAUCGUGAGUGUUGGUGAGUAACACCCAUAGGCACUGGCUCCCGGGGAAAUACGUUCCUUAUUUAAUAAUGUCUAGUUGAUUCAUUAACAUGGAAUUCAUGGCCAGUACCUCUGUCACUCAUGCCUGACUGAAGUUGAUCAGCACGUCUUUUUCUCCCUUAGGCACAUGACAGCCUUCUUGCAAUCAAGAAACUACGUGUGGCCAG